rnacentral:rRNA from 1 species
CUAUCUACAGGCUUAACACAUGCAAGUCGAGGGGCAGCAUGGUCUUAGCUUGCUAAGGCCGAUGGCGACCGGCGCACGGGUGAGUAACACGUAUCCAACCUGCCGUCUACUCUUGGACAGCCUUCUGAAAGGAAGAUUAAUACAAGAUGGCAUCAUGAGUCCGCAUGUUCACAUGAUUAAAGGUAUUCCGGUAGACGAUGGGGAUGCGUUCCAUUAGAUAGUAGGCGGGGUAACGGCCCACCUAGUCUUCGAUGGAUAGGGGUUCUGAGAGGAAGGUCCCCCACAUUGGAACUGAGACACGGUCCAAACUCCUACGGGAGGCAGCAGUGAGGAAUAUUGGUCAAUGGGCGAGAGCCUGAACCAGCCAAGUAGCGUGAAGGAUGACUGCCCUAUGGGUUGUAAACUUCUUUUAUAAAGGAAUAAAGUCGGGUAUGGAUACCCGUUUGCAUGUACUUUAUGAAUAAGGAUCGGCUAACUCCGUGCCAGCAGCCGCGGUAAUACGGAGGAUCCGAGCGUUAUCCGGAUUUAUUGGGUUUAAAGGGAGCGUAGAUGGAUGUUUAAGUCAGUUGUGAAAGUUUGCGGCUCAACCGUAAAAUUGCAGUUGAUACUGGAUAUCUUGAGUGCAGUUGAGGCAGGCGGAAUUCGUGGUGUAGCGGUGAAAUGCUUAGAUAUCACGAAGAACUCCGAUUGCGAAGGCAGCCUGCAAAGCUGCAACUGACAUUGAGGCUCGAAAGUGUGGGUAUCAAACAGGAUUAGAUACCCUGGUAGUCCACACGGUAAACGAUGAAUACUCGCUGUUUGCGAUAUACUGCAAGCGGCCAAGCGAAAGCGUUAAGUAUUCCACCUGGGGAGUACGCCGGCAACGGUGAAACUCAAAGGAAUUGACGGGGGCCCGCACAAGCGGAGGAACAUGUGGUUUAAUUCGAUGAUACGCGAGGAACCUUACCCGGGCUUAAAUUGCAGAUGAAUUACGGUGAAAGCCGUAAGCCGCAAGGCAUCUGUGAAGGUGCUGCAUGGUUGUCGUCAGCUCGUGCCGUGAGGUGUCGGCUUAAGUGCCAUAACGAGCGCAACCCUUGUUGUCAGUUACUAACAGGUUCCGCUGAGGACUCUGACAAGACUGCCAUCGUAAGAUGUGAGGAAGGUGGGGAUGACGUCAAAUCAGCACGGCCCUUACGUCCGGGGCUACACACGUGUUACAAUGGGGGGUACAGAGGGCCGCUACCACGCGAGUGGAUGCCAAUCCCCAAAACCUCUCUCAGUUCGGACUGGAGUCUGCAACCCGACUCCACGAAGCUGGAUUCGCUAGUAAUCGCGCAUCAGCCACGGCGCGGUGAAUACGUUCCCGGGCCUUGUACACACCGCCCGUCAAGCCAUGGGAGCCGGGGGUACCUGAAGUGCGUAACCGCGAGGAGCGCCCUAGGGUAAAACUGGUGACUGGGGCUAAGU